rnacentral:rRNA from 1 species
GGGGAAUAUUGGUCAAUGGGCGAAAGCCUGAACCAGCCAUGCCGCGUGAGUGAAGAAGGCCCUAGGGUUGUAAAGCUCUUUCAGCGGGGACGAUAAUGACGGUACCCGCAGAAGAAGCCCCGGCUAACUUCGUGCCAGCAGCCGCGGUAAUACGAAGGGGGCUAGCGUUGUUCGGAUUUACUGGGCGUAAAGCGCGCGUAGGCGGGUUCUCAAGUCAGGGGUGAAAUCCCAGGGCUCAACCCUGGAACUGCCUUUGAUACUGGGAGCCUGGAGUUCGGGAGAGGUUGGUGGAAUUCCGAGUGUAGAGGUGAAAUUCGUAGAUAUUCGGAGGAACACCAGAAGCGAAGGCGGCCAACUGGCCCGAAACUGACGCUGAGGCGCGAAAGCGUGGGGAGCAAA